GAGUGGAGCUUGCUCCAUGAUUCAGCGGCGGACGGGUGAGUAAUGCCUAGGAAUCUGCCUGGUAGUGGGGGACAACGUUUCGAAAGGAACGCUAAUACCGCAUACGUCCUACGGGAGAAAGCAGGGGACCUUCGGGCCUUGCGCUAUCAGAUGAGCCUAGGUCGGAUUAGCUAGUAGGUGAGGUAAUGGCUCACCUAGGCGACGAUCCGUAACUGGUCUGAGAGGAUGAUCAGUCACACUGGAACUGAGACACGGUCCAGACUCCUACGGGAGGCAGCAGUGGGGAAUAUUGGACAAUGGGCGAAAGCCUGAUCCAGCCAUGCCGCGUGUGUGAAGAAGGUCUUCGGAUUGUAAAGCACUUUAAGUUGGGAGGAAGGGCAGUAAGUUAAUACCUUGCUGUUUUGACGUUACCAACAGAAUAAGCACCGGCUAACUUCGUGCCAGCAGCCGCGGUAAUACGAAGGGUGCAAGCGUUACUCGGAAUUACUGGGCGUAAAGCGUGCGUAGGUGGUUCGUUAAGUCCGAUGUGAAAGCCCUGGGCUCGACCUGGGAAUGGCAUUGGAUACUGGCGGGCUAGAGUGCGGUAGAGGAUAGUGGAAUUCCUGGUGUAGCAGUGAAAUGCGUAGAGAUCAGGAGGAACAUCCGUGGCGAAGGCGACUGUCUGGACCAGCACUGACACUGAGGCACGAAAGCGUGGGGAGCAAACAGGAUUAGAUACCCUGGUAGUCCACGCCCUAA
rnacentral:rRNA from 1 species